GUGGGGAAUUUUGGACAAUGGGCGCAAGCCUGAUCCAGCAAUGCCGCGUGCAGGAAGAAGGCCUUCGGGUUGUAAACUGCUUUUGUACGGAACGAAACGGUCCUGGCUAAUACCUGGGGCUAAUGACGGUACCGUAAGAAUAAGCACCGGCUAACUACGUGCCAGCAGCCGCGGUAAUACGUAGGGUGCGAGCGUUAAUCGGAAUUACUGGGCGUAAAGCGUGCGCAGGCGGUGCUGUAAGACAGGCGUGAAAUCCCCGGGCUCAACCUGGGGAUUGCGCUUGUGACUGCAGUGCUGGAGUGCGGGAGAGGGGGAUGGAAUUCCGCGUGUAGCAGUGAAAUGCGUAGAUAUCGAGAGGAAUACCAAAGGCGUAGGCAGGUCACUGGACAGUUACUGACACUGAGGCACGAAGGCCAGGGGAGCGAACGGGAUUAGAAACCCGAGUAGUCC
rnacentral:rRNA from 1 species